rnacentral:rRNA from 1 species
AUGAGUGAUGCUACUUGGGAUGAUGCUCAAUUAGGUAGAGGACACAUCAAUGGUGGGGUAGCCGUAGGCAUAGCUAAUAGGUGGAGUCGGAGAAGAUGUACAUAUGAUGGUGAUGUGAGCACAUACAUAGGAGUGAAGCUAGCCAAGAUACAACAAGCUUGCUGCAAGAAGAGGAAUGGAAGAGGAUUUGGAGGAGAGGAGAUGGGGGCCAUGGUAUAA